AUAUAUUUAAACUCCUUUGUCAUUGGUCUGUGACUUUGUGCUGCAGUCCCCCACAAGGUCCAAGGGGGAGUGCCCCUUGAAUGGGGACAUGUAUAUAAGGCCAGUUGUGGCUGCCAUUCCAGCUUGCACUCCAAAACUGUGUGUCGUCCUGUUAUUGGAGAGAAGGAAGAUUUAACUCCUGUGUCUGCUGUUCCAGCUUGCAGAGGAUUCAACGGGGAAAGUCCUUGUAAGGACUAGAGCUCCCAGGACGGAGUGUCGUCCAGUGCCUGGGGGUGUCUAGAGCAAAUUCCCUAUUCGGCUCCAGGAAGGAGCGGUUCCAGGGCCCAGUCAAGCCAAGACGACUGUGGACAGAAGUGCUGCGGUUUGUCUUCUGUUCCAGCAAAGAAGCUAGAAAGUGGUCCUAUUUUGUGAAGUAGUCUUGGAACAAGAGAAAGACCCAGGGAUCUAAGUUUACCUGUAAUUGGAAAACUCUUGUCAAUAUGUCACCCACCCCUUUCCAGAAGUUUUGCUCUUUCAGGCACCCCUACCACAUGUGUAUGUAUGAGCCCUUGGAUCCGCAUCCACACCAGUACUGAUCAUUUGGCGAUUUUUCAGGUGAUAUAAUUUAGAGGGGGUGGUUUACCAUUGCAACAUGGUCCUAUAUGACUCUUCCUGCUCUGUCACGCAGAUAGAAGAUGUUUUGUUGACCUCCCAGAUGUCUUGGAAAUUUAAUGCCCUCCAAGACCUCAGAUCCCCAUUGUUGUGUAUACUGUAUAGUAUAGCUCUCCCCAUUUCUGCAUGUUAGUGCCUAGAUAGGCAUAAAUGGACAUGAUUAGGCUCUUUUGGAAUGACUCACUGAGGCAUAACUUUUCAUAGAAUGUCAUUCUUUUUGGCUGGCAAUGUCCUUGACUUGAAGAUACCUAAAAAAAGUCCGAGGGUUUCAAGUUGGCCCUCUCAGUUCCUCAAAGGUCAGGAUUCAGUCUGCUACAUCAGGGGUUCCCAACCCAGUCCUCAAGUACCCC